rnacentral:rRNA from 1 species
AUACGUAGGGGGCGAGCGUUGUCCGGAAUGAUUGGGCGUAAAGGGCGCGUAGGCGGCCCGGUAAGUCUGGAGUGAAAGUCCUGUUUUUAAGAUGGGAAUUGCUUUGGAUACUGUCGGGCUUGAGUGCAGGAGAGGUAAGUGGAAUUCCCAGUGUAGCGGUGAAAUGCGUAGAGAUUGGGAAGAACACCAGUGGCGAAGGCGGCUUACUGGGCUGUAACUGACGCUGAGGCGCGAAAGCGUGGGGAGCGAACAGGAUUAGAUACCCUGGUAGUCCACGCUGUAAACGAUGAAUGCUAGGUGUAGGGGGUAUCGACCCCUCCUGUGCCGGAGUAAACGCAAUAAGCAUUCCGCCUGGGGAGUACGGCCGCAAGGUUGAAACUCAAAGGAAUUGACGGGG